UACAGAGGGGGCAAGCGUUGUUCGGAAUUACUGGGCGUAAAGGGCGCGUAGGCGGCCGCCUAAGUCAGACGUGAAAUCCCUCGGCUCAACCGGGGAACUGCGUCCGAUACUGGCAGGCUUGAAUCCGGGAGAGGGAUGUGGAAUUCCAGGUGUAGCGGUGAAAUGCGUAGAUAUCUGGAGGAACACCGGUGGCGAAGGCGGCAUCCUGGACCGGUAUUGACGCUGAGGCGCGAAAGCUAGGGGAGCAAACGGG
rnacentral:rRNA from 1 species